rnacentral:siRNA from 1 species
CCAUUGAUCUCGAUAUGUUUGG